UAGGGAAUCUUCCGCAAUGGGCGAAAGCUUGACGGAGCAACGCCGCGUGAGUGAUGAAGGUCUUCGGAUCGUAAAACUCUGUUAUUAGGGAAGAACAAAUGUGUAAGUAACUAUGCACGUCUUGACGGUACUUAAUCAGAAAGCCACGGCUAACUACGUGCCAGCAGCCGCGGUAAUACGUAGGUGGCAAGCGUUAUCCGGAAUUAUUGGGCGUAAAGCGCGCGUAGGCGGUUUUUUAAGUCUGAUGUGAAAGCCCACGGCUCAACCGUGGAGGGUCAUUGGAAACUGGAAAACUUGAGUGCAGAAGAGGAAAGUGGAAUUCCAUGUGUAGCGGUGAAAUGCGCAGAGAUAUGGAGGAACACCAGUGGCGAAGGCGACUUUCUGGUCUGUAACUGACGCUGAUGUGCGAAAGCGUGGGGAUCAAACAGG
rnacentral:rRNA from 1 species